CCAGACUCAUCCAUCCCACCUCCAGAAAGUGUUGCUAGAGACACAGGUCCUAUUGUCUGAUUAAGACCAUAUUCUGCUACAGCCUUAUAUGCCAUGUCAGUAGCUCGCCGUAUAUCAUCCAGUGCACCUGUUGAGACACGACCUGAAUACAGAACUUCUUCCGCUGCACGUCCUCCAAGAAGAGUAACCAAGCGACCACGUAACUCAUCAAUAAAGAGCAAAUAUCUAUCCUCAUUUGUUGGCGGUAUAUAAGUAAAACCCAAUGCCCCUCCUGAUCUUGGCAAUAUGCU
rnacentral:misc_RNA from 1 species